GGCCCUAUGGGUUGUAAGCUACUUUUGUCAGGGAAUAAACCUCUCGAUUCACUCGGGAGCUGAAGGUACCUGAAGAAUAAGCACCGGCUAACUCCGUGCCAGCAGCCGCGGUAAUGCGGAGGGUGCAAGCGUUAUCCGGAAUCACUGGGUUUAAAGGGUGCGUAGGUGGCAUCGUAAGUCAGAAGUGAAAGUUUGCGGCUUAACCGUAAAAUUGCUUUUGAUACUGUAAUGCUUGAAUCAGGUUGAGGUUGGCGGAAUGUGGCAUGUAGCGGUGAAAUGCUCAGAUAUGCCAUAGAACACCGAUUGCGAAGGCAGCUGACUGGACCUGUAUUGACGCUGAGGCACGAAAGCGUGGGGAGCGAACAGGAUUAGAUACCCUGGUAGUCCACGCCCUAAACGGUGCUCACUCGAUGUGUGACCAUUAGGUCGCGCAUCCAAGCGAAAGCGUUAAGUGAGCCACCUGGGGAGUACGUUCGCAAGAAUG
rnacentral:rRNA from 1 species